UGAGGGCAGCCGGGCCUCGCGGGCCUGAAGGGAGCCAUGUCGAACGCUCGGCCGCGGCGCUGAGGGGACGCCGGAAGCGGAGGCGGCGCUGAGGGAGGGGCGCGCGCCGACUCGACGCUCGCCCGGGAACGGCCUCCGGCGCCCGAGGCGCAGAGCGGAGCGCGGCCGCCAUGGCCUUCGCCAACUACAGCAGCCUGAACCGGGCGCAGCUCACCUUCGAGUACCUGCACACCAACUCAACUACUCAUGAAUUCUUGUUUGGUGCUCUUGCUGAACUGGUUGAUAAUGCAAGAGAUGCUGAUGCCACCAGAAUAGAUAUUUAUGCAGAAAGGCGAGAAGACCUUCGAGGAGGUUUUAUGCUUUGCUUUUUGGAUGAUGGAGCAGGAAUGGAUCCAAGUGAUGCUGCCAGUGUGAUCCAGUUUGGGAAGUCAGCCAAGCGGACACCCGAGUCCACUCAGAUCGGGCAGUAUGGGAACGGGCUUAAGUCGGGCUCAAUGCGCAUUGGGAAGGACUUCAUCCUCUUCACCAAGAAGGAAGAUACCAUGACCUGCCUCUUCCUCUCUCGGACCUUUCACGAGGAGGAAGGCAUUGAUGAAGUAAUAGUCCCGUUGCCUACCUGGAAUGUUCGGAGCCGAGACCCUGUCACAGACAACACAGAGAAGUUUGCCAUCGAGACAGAGCUCAUCUACAAGUACUCUCCCUUCCACAACGAGGAGGAAGUGAUGGCCCAGUUCAUGAAGAUUCCUGGGGACAGUGGAACUUUGGUGAUCAUCUUCAACCUCAAACUCAUGGAUAAUGGAGAGCCAGAGCUAGAUGUAAUCUCAGACCCCAGGGACAUCCGGAUGGCGGAGACCUCCCCGGAGGGCACGAAGCCCGAGAGACGCUCCUUUCGCGCCUACGCGGCCGUGCUCUACAUCGACCCUCGCAUGCGGAUCUUUAUCCAUGGGCACAAGGUGCAAACCAAGCGGCUCUCUUGCUGCCUGUACAAGCCCAGGAUGUACAAGUACACGUCAAGUCGGUUCAAGACCCGCGCAGAGCAGGAGGUGAAGAAAGCUGAACACGUGGCCAGGAUUGCUGAAGAGAAGGCACGGGAGGCAGAGAGCAAAGCUCGAGCCUUAGAGCUGCGCCUCAGUGGAGACCUCACCCGGGACUCCAGGGUGAUGCUGCGGCAGGUGCAGAACACCGCCAUCACCCUGCGCCGAGAGGCCGACGUCAAGAAGCGCAUCAAGGAGGCCAAGCAGCGGGCCCUUAAAGAACCCAAGGAGUUGAAUUUCAUGUUUGGGGUGAACAUCGAGCACCGUGACCUGGAUGGCAUGUUCGUGUAUAACUGUAGCCGUCUGAUCAAGAUGUAUGAGAAAGUGGGCCCGCAGCUGGAAGGGGGCAUGGCGUGCGGAGGGGUGGUUGGCGUCGUGGACGUGCCCUACCUGGUGCUGGAGCCCACACACAACAAGCAGGACUUUGCCGACGCCAAGGAGUACCGGCACCUGCUGCGGGCCAUGGGGGAGCACCUGGUGCAGUACUGGAAGGACGUCGCCAUCGCCCAGCGGGGGAUCAUCAAGUUCUGGGAUGAGUUCGGCUACCUCUCUGCCAACUGGAACCAGCCCCCAUCGAGCGAGCUGCGGUACAAGCGCCGGAGAGCCAUGGAGAUCCCAACCACCAUCCAGUGUGAUUUGUGUCUGAAGUGGCGGACUCUGCCUUUUCAGCUGAACAGUGUAGAGAAAGACUAUCCUGACACCUGGGUGUGCUCCAUGAACCCUAACCCUGAGCAGGACCGGUGUGAGGCUUCUGAACAGAAGCAGAAGGUUCCCCUGGGGACAUUCAGGAAGGAUCUGAAAACACAGGAAGAGAAGCAGAAGCAGCUGACCGAGAAAAUUCGCCAGCAGCAGGAGAAGCUGGAGGCCCUUCAGAAAACCACCCCCAUCCGCUCCCAGGCAGAUCUGAGGAAAUUGCCCUUGGAGGUGACCACUAGACCAUCUGCUGAGGAACCUGCACGUAGACCUCAGCGUCCUCGGUCGCCCCCUCUGCCCGCUGUGAUCAAGAAUGCUCCCAGCAGGCCCCCUCCUGUGCACACGCCCCGGUCUGCUACCCAGCCCCGGAGGACCUCUGUUGUCAGCAGCAUCCCAAAGCCCCCUGCCCCUACUGCCCAUGAAGAGGCCAGCACGUCCAAAUUGCUCCAGCUACCCGAGUCCCCCCGGAAGCCUGCUGCUGCCGCUGCCACCACUGCCACCACUGCUGCCGCUGCCACCACUGCCGCCACUGCUGCCGCUGCUCCGGUCAAAACACUGCCCCGCUCUGCCCCUCCGGCACAGCCCCCCGCACCAUCCCUGCUGCCCACCUCCAGGAACCUUCGAGAAGCCCCUGCCCCCAGAGCCGUGAGGACUCCAAUAAGCAGGAAGCCGGAACCGCCAAGCAAAGUCUCUCCAGCUACUGCCGGACGGAAGCGGGCUCUCGUGGUCUCAGAUGGGGAAGAGGCUGAGGAAGAGGCCGAGAGGACGAAGGAGAAAACCAAGAGGGCCAAGUUUGCUGUGAAGGAGGAGAAUCAGGAUGGCAAUGAGCUCUCGGACAGUGCGGGGGAGGAGGAUGCCGCCGACCUCAAGAGCGCUCAGAAAGGUGGGCUCGUGGCCGGUGCUUCAGCUGGUGCGGACAAGGGGCUGCAUGUGGAGGUGCGUGUGAACAAGGAGUGGUACACGGGCCGAGUCACAGCAGUGGAGGCCGGCACCGGCAAACACGUGGUGCGGUGGAAGGUGAAGUUUGACUACGUGCCCACAGACACGACACCGCGAGACCGCUGGGUGGAGAAAGGCAGCGAGGACGUGCGGCUGAUGAAGCCCCCUUCCCCGGAGCACCAGAGUCCUGACACUCAGCAGGAGUGUGGGGAGGAGGAGGAGGAGCAGGAGAUGGCCGUCUCAGCCCCUCAGGCAGUAGCCCCGGCCGAGCCCUCCACGUCUGACUGUGUCCGCAUCGAGCCCGACACCACUGCCCCCAGCACCAGCCACGAGACCAUCGACCUGCUGGUCCAGAUCCUCCGGAAUUGUUUGCGCUACUUCCUGCCGCCAAGCUUCCCCAUCUCCAAGAAGGAGCUCAGCACUAUGAACUCAGAUGAACUGAUAUCAUUCCCUCUGAAAGAGUACUUCAAGCAAUAUGAAGUGGGACUCCAGAAUCUCUGCCGUUCCUACCAGAGCCGCGCCGACUCCCGGGCCAAGGCCUCUGAGGAGAGCCUGCGCACCUCUGAGAGGAAGCUUCGAGAGACCGAGGAGAAACUGCAGAAGCUGAGGACCAACAUCGUGGCGCUUCUGCAGAAGGUGCAGGAGGACUCUGUGGUUCCAGCCCUGGCUGCAGUGUCCUGACCAGGAGGGCUGGAGUAGUACGGCUGCCUAGGCCUCAUCCCAGCCAGACCCACGGACAUUGACAUCAACACGGACGACGAGCUGGACGCCUACAUCGAGGACCUCAUCACCAAGGGGGACUGAGUGAGCGCUCACGACGGCGCCCCGUGGGCCUCCUGGCUUGGGACUGCCUGGUCUGACUCACAGGAGACGUUGGUUGUUUUGGAGAGAAAGACACUGAUCCUUGGACUCGUCCUCCCUAAGUUUAUAAAUAUUUAUUUUUUAAAAAGAAACAAGAUGA